GAUGAACGCUGGCGGCGUGCUUAAUACAUGCAAGUCGAGCGGAAGGACGCGACGUGUGCUUCUCUGGUGUUACCGGCGGGCGGGUGAGUCACACGUGAAUAACCCACCUAUAAGACUGGGGUAACUUCGGGAAACCGGAGCUAAUACCGGGUGCUAUUUUGAGCCGCAUGGUUCAAAAGUGAAGUACGGUCUUGCUGUCAGCUCUAGAUGGACCCGCUUUGCAUUGGCUAGUUGGUAAGGUAACGGCUUACCAAGGCAACGCUGCAUAGCCGACCUGAGAGGGUGGUCGGCCACACUGGAACUGAGACACGGUUGAGACUCCUACGGGAGGCAGCAGUAGGGAAGCUUCCGCAAUGGGCGAAAGCCUGACGGAGCAACGCCGCGUGAGUGAUGAAGGUCUUCGGAUCGUAAAACUCUGUGAGUAGUGAAGAACAUAUGUGUAAGUAACUGUGCACAUCGUGACGGUACCGAAACAGAAAGCCACGGCUAACUACGUG
rnacentral:rRNA from 1 species